rnacentral:rRNA from 1 species
GACGAGCGCUGGCGGCGUGCUUAACACAUGCCAGUCGAACGGAAAAGCCCUGCUUUUGUGGGGUGCUCGAGUGGCGAACGGGUGAGUAACACGUGAGUAACCUGCCCUUGACUUUGGGAUAACUUCAGGAAACUGGGGCUAAUACCGGAUAGGAGCUCCUGCUGCAUGGUGGGGGUUGGAAAGUUUCGGCGGUUGGGGAUGGACUCGCGGCUUAUCAGCUUGUUGGUGGGGUAGUGGCUUACCAAGGCUUUGACGGGUAGCCGGCCUGAGAGGGUGACCGGCCACAUUGGGACUGAGAUACGGCCCAGACUCCUACGGGAGGCAGCAGUGGGGAAUAUUGCACAAUGGGCGGAAGCCUGAUGCAGCAACGCCGCGUGCGGGAUGACGGCCUUCGGGUUGUAAACCGCUUUCGCCUGUGACGAAGCGUGAGUGACGGUAAUGGGUAAAGAAGCACCGGCUAACUACGUG